UACGUAGGGGGCAAGCGUUGUCCGGAAUCAUUGGGCGUAAAGAGCGUGUAGGCGGUUCGGUAAGUCGGCUGUGAAAGUCUAGGGCUCAACCCUGGGAUGCCGGUCGAUACUGCCGGACUAGAGUUCGGAAGAGGCGAGUGGAAUUCCCGGUGUAGCGGUGAAAUGCGCAGAUAUCGGGAGGAACACCUAUGGCGAAGGCAGCUCGCUGGGACGUUACUGACACUGAGGCGCGAAAGCGUGGGGAGCGAACAGG
rnacentral:rRNA from 1 species